CAUAUACUCUCUCUGUCCAACAGAGGAUGUCUCAACUUUAAAUUUAAAUAUAUCUAUACACUAAGUCAUGUCUAAAUACAUUCAAAUUUUGACAAACUUAAGACAUCUUUUGUUGGACGGAGGGAGUGAUUA
rnacentral:pre_miRNA from 1 species